UGGUGGAGUGAUUUGUCUGGUUAAUUCCGUUAACGAACGAGACCUCUGCCUGCUAAAUAGUUGCGUGGCUCCUCGGAGCCGCGUCAACUUCUUAGAGGGACUAUGGGUGUUCAGCCCACGGAAGUUGGAGGCAAUAACA
rnacentral:rRNA from 1 species